GCCUCGUCCCACUUCCAGGACGGCUCCCGUGGCCCUCAGGAAAUCCAGACCAGCAAUAAGAGGAAAUGCGAGGUCUCUGGACUGGUGAAUUGUUCCGUCUGCCAUAAUGAACCUCUGUGGGCUGAAGGCACCACAAGGAGAGAUGACACUGGAUGGGGUUGAGCUAGUGUUACUCCAGCCAGGUUUUUGUUGAAGACAUAAGGCCCGGUAGUCAUAGGCAAAGUCCCUCAGACGUUGUCGUGGCUGCUGAACCAUCGUCCUCAGCUUUUCCUCCACUUCUGAGAGGUAAUCGUCUGGGAGAAAAGCAGCCAUGA